GUGUUGUCAUUUUAUUGAUUAGGUUUCUUUUUUUCGCGGAUUAGGGUUCUUUUGGACGCUCUCUUGACUAACCAAACCUUGAUCUUGAUUUCCUGGGCUAAGCUCUCCUAUUAUAUAUUUCCUGAGAUUUGAUUGUUUCUUAGUUUUCGAUUUGACGAGACUAUUGCAUAUUUUGUGGCAUUGACAUGGACUUGGAAGCUAUGAAGGUGAUCAGAAGCUUGAAAUUCAGAAAAAAUGAAUUUCAAGCUUCUGCUCAUUUACAUAGCUUUCAAUUCCAUGUUCAUAGCUUGAAGUUCAAUUUGGUUGCCUUAGUGUUGAUGUGAAACUUGCUGGAGGAUUCAUGGCUGUGUAAAUGCUACAUUAACUGGGCAAUCGUCUUCAGAUUUAUUUCUGCUUUUGUGGAUUUUGGUUCUAUGGGUUCAUUCGAGCUUUCUUUCCCCGCGGAGAAGGUCGCUGUCUUCUGAUUCUCCAUUCACUAUCAAAACCCUGAUCUUCGCUUCCAUGGAUAUGCUCUCCUACUCGCCACACUUUGGAACCGACUGUUGCUAAAUUUCCUGGGAUUUGGCUUGGGAGCGUUGCGGUGCUAUGAUGGCGGCGCUAAGCUCUUUAUUUGGGGGACAAGUUUGAGGUAACAUAGCGGCGCUGCGAUAUUAUGGUCUCUAUUUGGGAGCACUAUAGUCUGGUGGAGAAGAGAACAGAGAAACAGAGAGGGGAAAAAGAAAGAAGAGAGGAUUUGGGAGCCUUCGAGCGAUUUUCGUCCAUCGAGUCUUUUUAAGAAAUUUUCAGCUUGAGAUUUGCACAACACUAGUGCACAACACAUCCAGCAUCGGGACUAGCACUAGCUCCUACCCACCAACCUUUAAACUACGAUUCAGUUGUGAAGUUACUUGACCGCUUGGAGAUGCAAGCGACAACAUAGUAUCAUAAGACGAUUAAGCAUUGGGAGUGACUCCACUAGCAGCAUAAGCUGCACCAACAGUAGCAUGAUCAACUUCAGCAGCAACACGAGUCAGAUAGAGUCCGGUUAAACGAUCAAUUCUCUACUCUCCACUUGUACUUUCAUCCAUCACCUCCACCUGAUCAGGGUCCUUCAUACUUCUAUGUUUGUGUAUUAUGUCGUAGUUGUCUUUUUUUAUUGUUGUGUCUUAUAUUGUCUUUUGUCUUUAUCCUUGUUUUUUUCUCCUUUUUGGUGAUGUCAAAAUGGAGAGUAUGAUGUUAGUAUAGGGUGUUGGUAGUAUGUAUUUAUAUCUUUGGUGUUUUUAGUUCGGUUGUUUUUUGAUAUAUAUUUGCUCUUAUGCUUAUUUUUUAUAUAUGUUUAAAAAAAAAAUCUCUCCCUAUUUUCAUAAGAACUCAGUAAGGAGGAGAUUAGGAGAAAAUAAAUUAAACUUGAGAAUUUAGCCAACAAUGUUUGCCAUCAUAAAAAAGGGAGAGAUUAUUGUAAUUCGGGGCCUUGAGCUUAGGAAUUUGAUGAUAAUAAACAUUAUUAGAUUGCUAUUUUAUUUCUUAUAGUACUAUAUUGCAUACCUUUCAUAUGAGCACUAAACAUUUAAGUACAACGCACACCGUGCAAUUAAUGAUCAAGCAAGACUGAGUAUAAUAAGUUUGAUAUUUUUGAAAGAUUCCGCAUUUUCAUUUAUUUAUUUUUUUAUGCUUCUUCAGUGAAAUGUCCUGUAAAAGGUAUAUGAUAGUUUAAAGACUGUGCACAUGCACAUACACAUUGGUGAGCAAAAAUAAAUUUUUAAUUUCUAUGAAGUUCAUACUAUACGAUCUGGAUAAAAUAUAGAUUAAUUAGAACAUUUAAUUAAGAUAAUUUAAAUUUGAACAAAUCGUAUUGUAUGAUCCAAAUCGUACAGGAUGAUCAGUAGAAAUAAAAAAUUUUGUUGCCAAUCAUAAAUUAUCUAAUAUUUUGAAAUUCAAAAAUAAAUUAAUCAUACUGUACAAUUACAAUCGUAUUGGAGGAUGUAGUUAAAUUUUGUCUAAUUUAAUCUUAUAAUUAAGCAAUCAAAUCUGGAUUAAUUGAGAGUACAUAUCGUACCGUACAGUGUCCUGAUUCAUACAUUAUGACCUGAUUAGCUCCCGAAAUGAAUAGUUUACUACCAACAAUCAUACGGGAUGAAAAUCCUAUUCGAAUGAACUAAUCAUACUAUACGACUCUUGAUAUCGUACUGGACGAUCAGUUCAAAUGUUUGAACCAAUGUUGCACCGCUACACCUAUUUAUGAAGGCGUGCUAUAUCUGAUACAUGGAUACGCCUCCGAUACGACACUGAUACAUGUCGGAUACGGCUUUGCCGUAUCCAAUUAAAAUGCUAUUCAAUUUCAAAAGGACACGUGUAUCCAAUAUGGAUGUUCAUUGAAAAAUAAAUAAAAAAAAUAUGAAAAAUAGACCCGUCGUGUUUACUUCUGAUGCUUUGAGCUAGGAUCUCUCAUUUUCGAGAUGAAUUUGAGUCUCUUGAUGAUAUGGGAAUAUUAGAAACUGCUAAUCUUUCACUUGUUGAGUAUGAAUUAGAAGCUAUGAUAUUUAUUGAAGAGGAUAUAGAAGU